rnacentral:rRNA from 1 species
CCCCAGACUCCUACGGGAGGCAGCAGUGGGGAAUAUUGCACAAUGGGGGGAACCCUGAUGCAGCGACGCCGCGUGGGUGAGGAAGUACUUCGGUAUGUAAAGCUCUAUCAGCAGGGAAGAAGUUGACGGUACCUGAGUAAGAAGCCCCGGCUAACUACGUGCCAGCAGCCGCGGUAAUACGUAGGGGGCAAGCGUUAUCCGGAUUUACUGGGUGUAAAGGGAGCGUAGACGGCAGUGCAAGUCUGAAGUGAAAGCCCCGGGCCUAACCCGGGAAUUGCUUUGGAAACUGUACGGCUGGAGUGCUGGAGGGGUAAGCGGAAUUCCUAGUGUAGCGGUGAAAUGCGUAGAUAUUAGGAGGAACACCAGUGGCGAAGGCGGCUUACUGGACAGUAACUGACGUUGAGGCUCGAAAGCGUGGGGAGCAAACAGGAUUAGAUACCCUAGUAUC